GGGAAAGGUGAAAAGAACCCCGGGAGGGGAGUGAAAGAGAACCUGAAACCGUAUGUCUACAAGCAGUCGGAGCGAAAGCGACGGCGUGCCUAUUGAAGAAUGAACCAACGAGUUACGUGCACUAGCGAGGUUAAGUGGAAGACACGGAGCCGAAGCGAAAGCGAGUCUUAAGAGGGCGGAUAGUUAGUGUACGUAGACCCGAAACCGCAGUGAUCUACCCAUGUCCAGGUUGAAGCGCAGGUAAAAUUGCGUGGAGGACCGAACCUGUGAGCGUUGAAAAGCUUUAGGAUGAGAUGUGGGUAGAGGUGAAAUUCCAAUCGAACGCGGAGAUAGCUGGUUCUCCCCGAAAUAGCUUUAGGGCUAGCCUCAAGUAGUAAGUAUAGGCGGUAGAGCACUGAUCGGGCUAGGGGCCAUAAAGGUUACCGAACCCUGUCAAACUCCGAAUGGUUAUACUGUAGAGCUUGGGAGUCAGACUACGAGUGAUAAGAUCCGUGGUCAAAAGGGAAACAGCCCAGACCACCAGCUAAGGUCCCCAAUGUCGUACUAAGUGGAAAAGGAUGUGGGGUCUCUAAAACAACCAGGAUGUUGGCUUAGAAGCAGCCACCAUUUAAAGAGUGCGUAAUAGCUCACUGGUCGAGAGACCCUGCGCCGAAGAUUACCGGGGCUAAAGUACGAAACCGAAGCUGUGGCUACGACAUAUGUCGUGGGGUAGGGGAGCGUUCUGCGAGGGCUGAAGUCGUUCUGUAAGGAACGGUGGACUUCACAGAAGUGAGAAUGUUGGUAUGAGUAGCGAAAAGAAUGGUGAGAAUCCAUUCCACCGAAAGCAUAAGGAUUCCUGGGCAACGAUCGUCGUCCCAGGGUAAGUCGGGACCUAAUCCGAGGCAUGGAGCGUAGGAGAUGGACAACUGGCAGAUAUUCCAGUACCGGUAAUGAUUGUUUGAGCGAUGGAGUGACACAGGAGGGCAGGCAGGCAGGAGAUUGGUUGUUCCUGUACAAGCGUGUAGGAUGGGACGCAGGCAAAUCCGCGUCCUGUGAGUCUGAGGCGUGAUGUGGAGGUUCCGGAAACGGAACUGAAGCUGCUGACCCCACACUGUCGAGAAAAGCUUCUAGUUAGAGAAUUACCGCCCGUACCGUAAACCGACACAGGUAUGCGGGGAGAGAAUCCUAAGGUGCGCGGGAGAACCCUCGUUAAGGAACUCGGCAAAAUGUACCCGUAACUUCGGGAUAAGGGUAGCCGCUGUUGUGAAGUCUGAACAGACGGAGCAUGAGGCGGUCGCAGAGAAGAGGCCCAAGCGACUGUUUACCACAAACACAGGUGCCUGCUAAAGAGAAAUCUGACGUAUAGGUGCUGACACCUGCCCAGUGCCGGAAGGUUAAGGAAGGAUGUCCGGAGCAAUCCAAAGCAUUCGACCGAAGCCCCGGUGAACGGCGGCCGUAACUAUAACGGUCCUAAGGUAGCGAAAUUCCUUGUCGGGUAAG
rnacentral:rRNA from 1 species